rnacentral:rRNA from 1 species
UACGUAGGGGGCAAGCGUUGUCCGGAUUUAUUGGGCGUAAAAGGCUUGUAGGUGGCCACGCCAAGUCGGAUGUGAAAUCUCCCGGCUCAACUGGGAGGGGUCAUUCGAUGACUGGCGGGCUCGAGGCCGGUAGGGGGAAGUGGAAUUCCCGGUGUAGUGGUGGAAUGCGUAGAUAUCGGGAGGAACACCAGUGGCGAAGGCGGCUUCCUGGACCGGUUCUGACACUGAGGAGCGAAAGCGUGGGGAGCGAUCCGG